GCUCGGUUAGCUCAGUUGGUUAGAGCGUCGUACUAAUAUACUCCUUCCACGGAUAUAAUUAGUGUAUGCGAAGGUCAUGAGUUCAAGCCUCAUACUGAGCA